rnacentral:rRNA from 1 species
GACAGAGGGUGCAAACGUUGUUCGGAAUUACUGGGCGUAAAGCGCGUGUAGGCGGCCCGGAAAGUCGGAUGUGAAAGCCCCUGGGCUUAACCCAGGAAGUGCAUUCGAAACUCCCGGGCUUGAGUUCUGGAGAGGAAGGCGGAAUUCUCGGUGUAGAGGUGAAAUUCGUAGAUAUCGAGAGGAACACCGGUGGCGAAGGCGGCCUUCUGGACAGUGACUGACGCUGAGACGCGAAAGCGUGGGGAGCAAACGGG